GGGUUGUGAGGUUAAGCGACUAAGCGUACACGGUGGAUGCCCUGGCAGUCAGAGGCGAUGAAGGACGUGCUAAUCUGCGAUAAGCGCCGGUAAGGUGAUAUGAACCGUUAUAACCGGCGAUUUCCGAAUGGGGAAACCCAGUGUGACUCGUCACACUAUCAUUAACUGAAUCCAUAGGUUAAUGAGGCGAACCGGGGGAACUGAAACAUCUAAGUACCCCGAGGAAAAGAAAUCAACCGAGAUUCCCCCAGUAGCGGCGAGCGAACGGGGAGGAGCCCAGAGCCUGAAUCAGCAUGUGUGUUAGUGGAAGCGUCUGGAAAGGCGCGCGAUACAGGGUGACAGCCCCGUACACAAAAGCGCAUGUGUUGUGAGCUCGAUGAGUAGGGCGGGACACGUGGUAUCCUGUCUGAAUAUGGGGGGACCAUCCUCCAAGGCUAAAUACUCCUGACUGACCGAUAGUGAACCAGUACCGUGAGGGAAAGGCGAAAAGAACCCCGGCGAGGGGAGUGAAAAAGAACCUGAAACCGUGUACGUACAAGCAGUGGGAGCCCCACCACUAAGCCAGUGGUGAACUCCACAUACGCAUCCUUUGCUGAAGGUGCGGUUAACGGAGCGCAAGCGACGUUCAACCUCAAAAGAAGCAGAGGGGGCUUAGUGGUGGGGUGACUGCGUACCUUUUGUAUAAUGGGUCAGCGACUUAUAUUCUGUAGCAAGGUUAACCGCAUAGGGGAGCCGGAGGGAAACCGAGUCUUAAUUGGGCGUUAAGUUGCAGGGUAUAGACCCGAAACCCGGUGAUCUAGCCAUGGGCAGGUUGAAGGUUGGGUAACACUAACUGGAGGACCGAACCGACUAAUGUUGAAAAAUUAGCGGAUGACCUGUGGCUGGGGGUGAAAGGCCAAUCAAACCGGGAGAUAGCUGGUUCUCCCCGAAAGCUAUUUAGGUAGCGCCUCGUGAAUUCAUCUCCGGGGGUAGAGCACUGUUUCGGCUAGGGGGCCAUCCCGGCUUACCAACCCGAUGCAAACUGCGAAUACCGGAGAAUGUUAUCACGGGAGACACACGGCGGGUGCUAACGUCCGUCGUGAAGAGGGAAACAACCCAGACCGCCAGCUAAGGUCCCAAAGUCAUGGUUAAGUGGGAAACGAUGUGGGAAGGCCCAGACAGCCAGGAUGUUGGCUUAGAAGCAGCCAUCAUUUAAAGAAAGCGUAAUAGCUCACUGGUCGAGGCGGCCUGCGCGGAAGAUGUAACGGGGCUAAACCAUGCACCGAAGCUGCGGCAGCGA
rnacentral:rRNA from 1 species